rnacentral:rRNA from 1 species
CCUACGGGCGGCAGCAGUGAGGAAUAUUGGUCAAUGGACGAGAGUCUGAACCAGCCAAGUAGCGUGAAGGAUGACUGCCCUAUGGGUUGUAAACUUCUUUUAUAAAGGAAUAAAACGAGGCACGUGUGCCUUUUUGCAUGUACUUUAUGAAUAAGGAUCGGCUAACUCCGUGCCAGCAGCCGCGGUAAUACGGAGGAUCCGAGCGUUAUCCGGAUUUAUUGGGUUUAAAGGGAGCGUAGAUGGGUUGUUAAGUCAGUUGUGAAAGUUUGCGGCGCAACCGUAAAAUUGCAAUUGAUACUGGCAGUCUUGAGUACAGGUGAGGUAGGCGGAAUUCGUGGUGUAGCGGUGAAAUGCUUAGAUAUCACGAAGAACCCCGAUUGCGAAGGCAGCUUACUAAACUGUGACUGACAUUGAUGCACGAAAGUGUGGGUAGCAAACAGGAUUAGAUACCCUUGUAGUC